rnacentral:sRNA from 1 species
AAGUUUGUACGAGUUGAGUGGAGGAGACCGCAAGUUGAGUGGAGGAGGCGGCGGUGGGGCCCCGGACCAGGUGCCUCCAUGGCAGGCUCUGAAGAGCUGGGGCUCCGGGAAGACACGCUGAGGGUCCUAGCUGCCUUCCUUAGGCGUGGUGAGGCUGCCGGGUCUCCUGUUCCAACUCCACCUAGGUAAGAGGAGUGGCCCUUCUCCCCCAGGGGCCAGCAUUUGAGGCUCCCUCCUAACUCUUGCUCCUGGUCUCAGUCUGUCUCCUCUCUUUAUAUCUGGCUCUAUUCUCUGUCUUUGGGGUUUUGGAGAGAGGUCCUCAGCGGAGGAGGGAGGGAGUUGGGGAAAGAGACUGCUUGCAGGGGAUCUCUGGUGGGGUCAGUCUCUGAAGUCCUCCUCCCCAGAAGCCCUGCCCA